GAUGAACGCUGGCGGCGUGCUUAACACAUGCAAGUCGAACGGUGAACGAGGGAGCUUGCUCCCUCCGGAUCAGUGGCGAACGGGUGAGUAACACGUGAGCAAUCUGCCCCGAACUCUGGGAUAAGCGCUGGAAACGGCGUCUAAUACCGGAUACGACGCGCGAAGGCAUCUUCUGCGCGUGGAAAGAAUUUCGGUUCGGGAUGAGCUCGCGGCCUAUCAGCUAGUUGGUGAGGUAACGGCUCACCAAGGCGACGACGGGUAGCCGGCCUGGAAGGGUGACCGGCCACACUGGGACUGAGACACGGCCCAGACUCCUACGGGAGGCAGCAGUGGGGAAUAUUGCACAAUGGGCGCAAGCCUGAUGCAGCAACGCCGCGUGAGGGACGACGGCCUUCGGGUUGUAAACCUCUUUUAGUAGGGAAGAAGCGAAAGUGACGGUACCUGCAGAAAAAGCACCGGCUAACUACGUGCCAGCCGCCGCCGUAAUAC
rnacentral:rRNA from 1 species